AGUGCCGUCCGAUGAGGAUGGCUUUUAAUCGAUGUAAGGAUUCGAUAGAAUAAAGGGGGGGCAAGACUGGUGUCAGCCGCCACGGUAAUACCAGCCCCCUGAGUGGUAAGGACGAUUAUUUGGCCUAAAGCGUUCGUAGCCGGCUUAUCAAGUCUUUUGUUAAAUCCAACGAUUUAAUCGUUGGGCCGCAAAAGAUACUGUUAUGCUAGAGGACGGGAGAGGUCGACGGUAGUCCAGGGGUAGGGGUGAAAUCCUAUAAUCCUUGGAGGACCACCAGUGGCGAAGGCGGUCGACUAGAACGUGCCUGACGGUGAGGGACGAAAGCUGGGGGAGCGAACCGGAUUAGAUACCCGGGUAGUCCCAGCUGUAAACGAUGCGGGCUAGGUGUUGGGGCAGCCACGAGCUGCUCCAGUGCCGCAGAGAAGUUGUUAAGCCCGCCGCCUGGGAGUACGCCGCAAGGC
rnacentral:rRNA from 1 species